GAUGAACGCUGGCGGCGUGCCUAAUACAUGCAAGUCGAGCGAACGGACGAGAAGCUUGCUUCUCUGAUGUUAGCGGCGGACGGGUGAGUAACACGUGGAUAACCUACCUAUAAGACUGGGAUAACUUCGGGAAACCGGAGCUAAUACCGGAUAAUAUUUUGAUCCGCAUGGUUCAAAAGUGAAAGACGGUCUUGCUGUCACUUAUAGAUGGAUCCGCGCUGCAUUAGCUAGUUGGUAAGGUAACGGCUUACCAAGGCAACGAUGCAUAGCCGACCUGAGAGGGUGGUCGGCCACACUGGAGCGUAGACGCGGUCCAGACUCCUACGGGAGGCAGCAGUAGGGAAUCUUCCGCAAUGGGCGAAAGCCUGACGGAGCAACGCCGCGUGAGUGAUGAAGGUCUUCGGAUCGUAAAACUCUGUUAUUAGGGAAGAACAUAUGUGUAAGUAACUGUGCACAGCUUGACGGUACCUAAUCAGAAAGCCACGGCUAACUACGUG
rnacentral:rRNA from 1 species